rnacentral:rRNA from 1 species
UACAGAGGUCCCAAGCGUUGUUCGGAUUCACUGGGCGUAAAGGGUGCGUAGGCGGUCGGGUAAGUCUGAUGUGAAAUCUUCAAGCUCAACUUGGAAACUGCAUCGGAUACUAUUCGGCUCGAGGAAUGGAGGGGAGACUGGAAUACUUGGUGUAGCAGUGAAAUGCGUAGAUAUCAAGUGGAACACCAGUGGCGAAGGCGAGUCUCUGGACAUUUCCUGACGCUGAGGCACGAAAGCCAGGGGAGCAAACGGG